CUAAAGACUUCAAGGGCAUGUAUUUUAUCCUUAUGAGUGAGCAUUUCAGGUAGUAAGGAAAAAGCUGCAUUAUUUUUCAUAACCUAAUCUUGGGAUGCCAAAGCACAGAAAUCCAAUUCAUGCCAUCUCAGCAUGCAGGAUCUAGACUUCGAACAUUCAAGGGAGUCUGGAAGUGUUUGAAUGCUGGUCUUGUCAAAUAAUGAGGAACGACCAUUCCAGCAAAGAGCAGUCUAAAUAGAAGAGAAGCAGGACACAAUGCAGAUUCAACUGGAAUGACUUGUUAGUAGUCAAUACUUAUUUCAAACUUUCACGGUGACAGAAUGCCUUCUGUUUGCCAAUGCAAAAAAUCCUAUUAAGUGGCAAAUUAUAAAAUCUCCAAGUAGCACCCAGGGGGAAUUUUAACAAUACUCUAAGCUCUUCUCUCAGUUCCGGUAAUUAUUAAGGAUUA
rnacentral:lncRNA from 1 species